rnacentral:lncRNA from 1 species
CGGCCUCUAUGGCUGUGGGUGCAUCUCCGCGAGCUACCGAAUAGCCGCAGCUUUGCGCGUCCCUGCUCCCUUCAAUUACCGUUCCCCUGUGGGAGGGGGCUGGGAAGCCCAAGACGAUGUGCCUAGUUCCUGAUCGUCCCCUUGGCCGCCCCCUCCCUUCCUCCAAGCGUUCAUUGCAAACCCUCUGCUCCCGGGACGGAGCGGGAAGGGGGGGAGGGGAGCGCGCAGCGGCCGCCCCGCGUCUCUCGGAGAGAAAAAAAGGCUGCAAAUUCCAGCGGUGCGGCUCGCUCUGUGCCUCCCACCCGCACCGGGCGGGGCGCGUGCAUCCUUUACCCGGCGCCUGCAUUCUCUCGCCCGCCCAGGAGAGGAGAAGCCGCCACCUGUCAGCCCCAUUCAAGCCCGAGUGCUAACCUGCCUAGGGAAAGGGGGGAAGGGUGUGAAGGAAACUCGAACUCCGACAGAGAUUCAUUCUCCAGAAGGAGCUCGAGAGGCACUGGAGCUCUUGCCCUACGCGUCUUUUACGGAGGAGCUGCAGCCGGCGAGAACGCGGAGGAGGAAGAGGCUGCUCGGAGCAAUUGUGCACCCCCCCAAUCCCUUUCGCUGAUUCUUCUCUGCCGCUCCACUCCCGGGGGAGUACCUCUCCCCCGGCACCUCCUCUCCUCUUUGCAAUGUGUGCACCAACCGCUGCCUUCUCGGCCCCGGGCAGGGGAAGUGCAGGAUGCUCCAGCCACUAACGCGGCUCCCUCGACUCCCAGCCUGCAUCCAGCCGGGCUUGGCACCGUGGUCCUCUCUCGGAAACUGACUCAAAGCAGAUCAGGAGUGACUGACAGCCCCACAGUUGGCUGCGCCCGGAGGGGGAGUCUGCAAAGAGGGAUUGUGCCGGUGUCUGAGGGAGAGGAAAGUGGGGGGAGGGAAGGUAAGGCAAGACAGGGUCGGAGGUGGACUGGGGUCCUUAUUGGAGGGAAAGAAACACCUGAGACGCCUCUGGAAAAGUUCAAGAUUUGUGUAUUUUCCCGAGAAAGCAUUUUUUCUUUGCAAGAAAAAAAAAAGCGCGGCCCACUUAUCUCUCUCCUAAGGGGACGUGAUAGCGACGAGGAAGUAGGGAUGGGCAACUGGAAGCACUCCCUAGUUUGGUGACAGCCCCCCUCCCAUUCUGCAACGCCUAAAACCAGGGACGUUAGAGCUUGUGCCUUGGAAAAUAAGGGCUCGGACCCAAGCAGAGGGGCUCGUCUCUUCUUCGACUUUAUUCUUGGGCACCAUCUCCAUGGCAGAUUCCGUCCGGACCGCGCCGGACUUGAUUCAGCAGCGCCGCUGCCGGGGGAGGUGCGGCUAAAACCGGACUGCAAGGAGCCAGCCGGAGCCCUGGCGGAUGCUCUGGGGAGAGCUGGAGCUGGGAGGAGGCGGCGGCGAAGGAGGAGGAGGUGGAGGAGGAGGAGGAGGAGAGAGAGAGAGAGCGCGCGCGAGGAAAACAAGGAGAAGAAACUCUGCCCCCUUGCCUAAGUGCAUUCAGCCCGGGCGCUCCAGAGAGUGUGGGGGUGGGGUGGGAGUCGCCUCAGCGUCGCCUGCGUGAGAUUUUGCACCGAAACUUUUCAUUCUCCGGAUGGAUUAAAGUUGUCUGGAUUUCUUUUUAACAUCAUUAUCAAUUUUUAUUCGUGUGCACCCGACGUAGAAUUUUCUACUGGGGCCGCAGGUUGACGAAAUCCAGACGAAACAACCCUGCUCGCCAGGAAUCCUACCGAAAUCUUCGAAAUCGUUCCUUGCAUUGGAAAUGGGCGUCCUUUACUGAUUUAGGAUUUAAUCUGGGCCUGGAGAGGAGCUGGGAGAGGGGGCGGGGAGGGUGGACCUAGCCCUCGGAUCUCUGGAGCCCGAGGCCGCAGGUCCCUCUCCAAGACUGCACGGGCUGCUUGGCUCUCCACGGCUUCCGACAACCUGCGGGGGCUCCCUCGAAGGGGGAGGUGGGUGCAAGUGCUCUCCCGCCUAAUCCUGGAUCCACCUCCCCAGGGCCCCAAGUGGGGAGAGGGAUCCCAGCCCCCAGGGAGCCCCGAUGCUGUCUGUAGCUGGAGCCCGGUUGGCCCUCUAAGGAGGUGGGGACUGCGAGAAGCUUGAGAUCCGGACCCCGUUCCCCCGCCCCACAGAC